GUAAUAUUCCGGAGGAGGAUGGGCCUGCCUGGAGGAAGUGGGUCACUAGAAGUGAGCCUUUAAAUCCCACCGUUUCCAGCCUGUGCUCUCUGCUUUCUGACCUCUACCAUGCAAACAGCCACUGCUCCAUGUUUUUGCUACCACAGGUAUAGCUACUGUGCCAAACCAUCCCGUCAUCGAUAGAAGGAAACUCAUCCGAAACCUGUCCCCCUCCGUGAGAUUUAUGGCCCAUAAUGAAGUUCAUCUUGUGUAUGAGCCGACCAGUAGAACCUGGAAGAAAAUGCAUUCUUCUCUAGAAUCCACAAGCAGCCAACAUCAGGGAUGGGGACACAUCCAUGAAGACACAGAUCCUCCACAUUACUAACGAGUGCAGUAGAGUCCCCGAUUGCAGUGCCGUCCUGUCAGAAACAUCUGGAGUGUUCCUUCAAACCACAACUGGAAAGAAGUCAUGCAACACACUGAGUUCCACCUUUACCUUAGUUUUACAGCAACAAUCAUUGUAGAUGUAUGUAUCCUCACCAUUCUUCGCAAUGACCUGACCUUGUAGGCUUCUGCCAUGGAUGAGCCCUCACUUGGAACUCUUCAUUUCCCACUUUUUUCCCUGUCAGUUUCCUUCCUACACCAUGGGUCAGAUGCAUAUUUCUAUACAUGCAUGAUAAUAACAACAGCACAAACAUGAAUUUAAUACCAUUCCUUAUUAAGAUCAUUAAUUCAGCAGAUACAUGGGAGAGACCAGGGCCGGGAUCAGAGCAGUGAUAAUCGCUGGCUGGGUGGGCAUAAAGCAAAGCAACAUAAUAUUGGCACACAACAGAACCAUGGGUUGAAUUUUAUGAUCAGAUCUUUAAUGAGUAUCUUACAGCUUGUUAUAGAAAAGUAUUUUCAAUUAGCUAAAUAUGUGUAAUAAUUGAAUAAGCACCACUAGAAGAAAUGAGCUUCUAGCAAUAAAAGCAUUUAAACAGAGCUUAUGAGACCAACUUGAAGUUAAUUUCCAAAAACGUGUUUCUCUUGCUACGGACUGGAAGAAUGCUGAGGGCAAAUGACCAUUUACCUAGAUUGUAUUUUAUAUAAAAAUGCUGGUGCUCCCAUGAAAUUUUCAUAUAUAUUAAAUUAUCUUUAUUCUCUUAAGCAUCCUGUGAAAUAAAUCAAGAGCUGUGCUUAAUAAAAAAUGUGCCCAUGUGUGGUGCCUCAGGAGGCUGAGGCCAGAGAAUUCCACAACAACCUGGGUUAUGUAAGUAGUCUGAGGCUGGCAUGAACUAUAGCGACCCCUGUUUCAAAAAAGUAAGCUAAUUAACUAACUCACUACCAAUUAAUAAAUGAAUUAAUAAGCACUAAGACAGGCUCAGAGAAAAUUCCCACAAAACUCUAGAGGUGAAAAAAUUAGCAUAACUGAGAUCCAAUCCCAGCCAGUUCUGUUUCUAAACUGUAUUGUUGAUAUAAGUUUUCUGGCACUGUUUGUCUCUCUGUUGGCUGUUAUAAAAGCUUCAUCCUUAAAUCACUGGAUUCAUAACUUACCUUAUGUCAGACAGGACAGAGGGGAGAAGGAGAUGGAUCCCCCAAACCCACCUCCAGUGAUCUACUUCCUCCAGCUACGUCCAGGCACCUGCACUUCAGCAUCUCCCAAAAGAGGGUCGCUAGCUGGGACUCGAGUCUUCAAUACAUAUGUCUUUCAUGGAGUAAAUCAUCGCUACAUGGGUUAAAAUCUAUUGGCUUUGCUGGCUAAGGAAGUCCUCUUUCAUACUCGCUACAAAGUUCUAGGAUGCCCCGAAUGUGAAAGAACAACUGGAGAAAAUCCUCAAGCACAUGAAAUCCCUGGGAUUUCAGUCAUCUCGAGCAAAUAAUUCAGUGGCCCUAGAAUUUUAGACCUUCCAAGGUAGGAGGCUUCUCAUCUCUGUAUUUAUUCCUUCCCAGCACUGGGAUUUCUAGAAAGAAUAGAAUUAAACAAAUGAGUGGAGCAGGUAUUGACUGGGUAGAUGGGGGUAACCAAGAUGUUGGCGUUAGUAAUACAAAGAACAAGAGGUAGUUCUCUCAGGCAGAGUUGUCUUUUGUGAGGUGCCCGAAUGUUCAGCUAUUCCAGUAUAAAGUGUGGUCUUGCCACUUUGCUAGUCCCAGGUGGCCUCUGGGUUCAUAUUUGCCUGGUUUCUUGUUCCUGUGCUUUUGUAAGCAGGCUGGAAUCUGCUGUGACACAGGCUGUUAGGCAUUCACGAGUUCCUUUGGAAUCUGUACAAUCAAGGACUCCAAGUCCAGCCUUUUAGUUAUCUCUUGAUUUAUGGCUGGAGGGGUGGCUCUCCUGCAAGCUAUUGGACAAUGAUGAUAAAAGAGAUAGCAGCACCUCGGUGGACUUCCUGUUACCCUUUUCUAUAGUUACCACUUAGAAGCAUUUAAUGGGGUACAGAGUGCUCAGGGUGUAAAACCGCUUCUGCUCACCAUUGUACUGUGGAGUCAACUGGCGACUCCACUUCAAAUUUUCUAAACCAGAAAAUAAACCAGUUCACAAUUACC
ensembl:lincRNA Gm3985 uncharacterized LOC110300809